rnacentral:rRNA from 1 species
GACGAACGCUGGCGGCGUGCCUAACACAUGCAAGUCGAGCGAGGAACUUCGGUUCCUAGCGGCGGACGGGGGAGUAACACGUGGGGAACCUGCCUCAGAGAGGGGGAUAGCCUCCCGCAAGGGAGAUUAAUACCGCAUAACAUGUUUUGAUUGCAUGGUCGAAACAUUAAAGGAGUAAUCCGCUAUGAGAUGGACCCGCGGCGCAUUCGCUAGGUGGAGAGGUAACGGCUCACCAAGGCGACGAUGCGUAGCUGACCUGAGAGGGUGAUCGGCCACAUUGGAACUGAGAAACGGUCCAGAAUCCUACGCGAGGGAGCCGAGGGGAAUAUUGCACAAUAGGCGAAAGCCUGAUGCAGCAACGCCGCGUGAGUGAUGAAGGCCGUCGGGUUGUAAAGCUCUGUCUUUGGGGACGAUAAUGACGGUACCCGAGGAGGAAGCCACGGCUAACUACGUGCCAGCCGCCGCGGUAA